rnacentral:rRNA from 1 species
ACKGCUCAGUAACACGUGGCUAACCUGCCCUUGGGACGGAAACAUCCCCGGGAAACUGGGGCCAAUUUCCGAUAGGUGAAGAACCCUGGAAUGAGUCUUCGCCCAAAAGGCGCUUAGAGCAUGCUUCUAGGUGUUGCCCAAGGAUGGGGCCGCGGCCGAUCAGGUUGUUGGUGAGGUAAUGGCUCACCAAGCCUUUAACCGGUACGGGCCGUGGGAGCGGUAGCCCGGAGAUGGGCACUGAGACAAGGGCCCAGGCCCUACGGGGCGCAGCAGUCGCGAAAACUUGUCAAUGCACGAAAGUGUGAACGGGCUACCCCGAGUGCCGUCCGCUGAGGAUGGCUUUUCUCUGCUGUAAGAAGGCGGAGGAAUAAGGAGAGGGCAAGUCUGGUGUCAGCCGCCGCGGUAAUACCAGCUCUCCGAGUGGUAGGGAUGAUUAUUGGGCUUAAAGCGUCCGUAGCCGGUCUCUCAAGUCUUUCGUUAAAUCCAGCGACUAAUCGUUGGACUGCGGGAGAUACUGUUAGGCUAGGGGGCGGGAGAAGCCGACGGUAUUUCCGGGGUAGGGGUAAAAUCCUAUAAUCCCGGGAAGACCACCAGUGGCGAAGGCGGUCGGCUAGCACGCGCUCGACGGUGAGGGACGAAAGCUGGGGGAGCGAACCGGAUUAGAUACCCGGGUAGUCCCAGCUGUAAACGAUGCGGGCUAGGUGUUGGAGCGGCUACGAGCCGCUUCAGUGCCGCAGGGAAGCCAUUAAGCCCGCCGCCUGGGGAGUACGGCCGCAAGGCUGAAACUUAAAGGAAUUGGCGGGGGAGCAC